GACGAACGCUGGCGGCGUGCUUAACACAUGCAAGUCGAACGGAAAGGCCCUGCUUGCAGGGUACUCGAGUGGCGAACGGAUGAGUAACACGUGGGUGAUCUGCCCUGCACUUCGGGAUAAGCCUGGGAAACUGGUUCUAAUACCGGAUAGGAGCCAUUUUUAGUGUGAUGGUUGGAACGUUUUUUCGGUGUAGGAUGAGCUCGCGGCCUAUCAGCUUGUUGGUGGGGUAAUGGCCUACCAAGGCGGCGACGGGUAGCCGGCCUGGGAGGGUGGACGGCCACAUUGGGACUGAGAUACGGCCCAGACGCCUACGGGAGGCAGCAGUGGGGAAUAUUGCACAAUGGGCGCAAGCCUGAUGCAGCGACGCCGCGGGGGGGAUGACGGCCUUCGGGUUGGAAACUCCUUUCGCUAGGGACGAAGCUUUUUGUGACGGUACCUAGAUAAGAAGCACCGGCUAACUACGUG
rnacentral:rRNA from 1 species